GUCAACACAUUUUCUUGAAAUUUCUUUUCUUUAAAGUUACAUACAUGGUUUUCAUUGCGACCAUGCCGAAAGUUUUCUUGUCGAUACAUGUAUUUAUUGUCGGCUUGCGCCGAAACCAGUGUUUCAUUUGUUCCAAGUUGAAGUAAACUUGUUGGGCAUUCGACUCCAUUAAAUUGUUUGUUGAUUUCGACACCUUGUGGUGGUAUUUUCACUUGUCUGAAGCCGGAGCUAAACUCGUUUACAUGUCUCAUGCACAGAUUUAACUAUUUAUUUAUUGAUUUGCUUAAAAUCCGCUUUGAUUUAUCAUAUUACAGCAGUCUUAACACAAUCGUGUGUUAAGACAAUGGUACACCAGUUCAUUUUAAAUUCCGGUGUACCUACUAAUGGUACAUUCAUUUAUCGAUCGAAUGUUUUGCGAAAUUCAUUGCUUCUUCGUCUUCGAUCGAAAAC
rnacentral:lncRNA from 1 species